AUCUCAUGAUCUCAUGAUUCCUAGAUUCACGGAAUUGCAGCACACCUGAGGCCCCUGCACGGCCCCUCCCCCCUAGCAGUCAGAGGCUGGUGCUCCCCCCUUGUUGGAGGAGGCCCAGGACGCCUCUGCCUGGCAAGACAGCAAGUAUCUGCAGAUAUGACCCCAUGUCUCCAGGGCCAACACCCAGCCUCAGUCAGUCAAUAAACAAUCCAGGGGCGUGGCAGCCUGGCCAUUCAAGAAAAGGCCUGCCAGAGGAUUGUCAGCAUCUGGCCCAGGCUCCUGUGGGAAGGUGCCAAGGGACAUCACAAACAGGGCGAGGAAGCCGAUUCCGAAGUUGGUGGCCGCGGGGAGCGCCAUCGCGAGCCGGCGCCCUGGGACGAGCCAAGAGCCAAGUGCGGCCGAGCAGCGUCUGCACGCGCGGAAGUGCCGGAAGAGCCCAGUGCCCUCCCUGCCCCGCGGAACCCAGGCUUGACCCGCGGAACCCCAGCUUUGCCGGUCCCCUGCUCUCCACGGCACUUCCUCCUUGAACUGGUGACGGUGGACCUUAGCGCCCACACAUCCGGGAAUAUUGUGCAGUCACCUUCCAAGUUGCAGAAGAUUCUAAUUGCUGUUCUUUUAUUGAAUGAGCAGAAUCUUCUUGCUAAUCCACGUUAGACCUACGUACAGCCUGAGAAAGACAAAUGGCAUUAAACAAAGAUUAAAAAAAUGUUACAUGUGAUCAAACCACA